rnacentral:ncRNA from 1 species
CAAAUUCUUUACGCCUUUCUUUUCCUUUUUGAAGCGUAGCGGUUAAAGAACUUGAUCCUCUAUUUAUCCGGACCACAAACUCAAAGUUUUCACAUGUCAUUGAUUUUACCUGUCCUAGGCUUUCUUCUUUCAUUGCCUUUUUUCGUCUUUUUUCAAGCAAAAUAGGACUUUUUCUCAUCUUUCUAUUUAACGAUAAUUGAGUUCAAAAGAAGGCAUUUGACUUUCUUUUUUGCUUUGAACCUUACAGAGGAGAGUGGAAUUUCGUGUGUAGGGGUGAAAUCCGAAGAUCUACGAAGGAAGGCCAAAAGCGAAGGCAACUCUCUGGAUCCCUACCGACGCUGGGGUGCGAAAGCAUGGGGAGCGAACGGGGUUAGAUACCCUGGUAGUCCAUGCCGUAAAUGAUGAGUGUUCGCCCUUGGUCUAGGCGGAUUAGGGGUCCAGCUAACGCGUGAAACACUCCGCCUGGGGAGUACGGUCGCAAGACUGAAACUCAAAGG